rnacentral:rRNA from 1 species
GGGGAGUACGUUCGCAAGAAUGAAACUCAAAGGAAUUGAUGGGGGCCCGCACAAGCGGUGGAGCAUGUGGUUUAAUUCGAUGCAAAGCGAAGAACCUUACCAGGGCUUGACAUCCCGUGAAUCCUCUUGAAAGAGAGGGGUGCCCUCGGAACGCGGACACAGGUGGUGCAUGGCUGUCGUCAGCUCAUGCCGUAAGGUGUUGGGUUAAGUCUCGCAAUGAGCGCAACCCUCGUGUUUAGUUACCACUAUGAGUUUGGAACCCUGAACAGACCGUCGGUGUUAAACCGGAGGAAGGAGAGGAUGAGGCCAAGUCAUCAUGUCCCUUAUGCCCAGGGCGACACACGUGCUACAAUGGGCGGGACAAAGGGUCGCGAUCUCGCGAGGGUGAGCUAACUCCAAAAACUCGUCCUUGGUUCGGAUUGCAGGUUGCAACUCGCCUGGAUGAAGCAGGAAUCGCUAGUAAUCGCAUGUCAGCCAUACGGCGGUGAAUCCGUUCUAGGGCCUUGUACACACCACCCGUCACACUAUAGGAGCUAGCCAUGUUUGAAGUCAUUACCCUUAACCGUAAGGAGGGGGAUGCCUAAGGCUAGGCUUGCGACUGGAGUGAAGUUGUAACAAGGUAGCCGUACUGGAAGGUGCGGCUG